GACGAACGCUGGCGGCGUGCCUAACACAUGCAAGUCGAGCGAGGGGAGUUCUUCGGAACAAACCUAGCGGCGGACGGGUGAGUAACACGUGGGCAACCUGCCUCAUAGAGGGGAAUAGCCUUCCGAAAGGAAGAUUAAUACCGCAUAAGAUUGUAGCUUCGCAUGAAGUAGCAAUUAAAGGAGCAAUCCGCUAUGAGAUGGGCCCGCGGCGCAUUAGCUAGUUGGUGAGGUAACGGCUCACCAAGGCGAAGAUGCGUAGCCGACCUGAGAGGGUGAUCGGCCAAAUUGGGACUGAGACACGGCCCAGACUCCUACGGGAGGCAGCAGUGGGGAAUAUUGCACAAUGGGGGAAACCCUGAUGCAGCAACGCCGCGUGAGUGAUGACGGCCUUCGGGUUGUAAAGCUCUGUCUUCAGGGACGAUAAUGACGGUACCUGAGGAGGAAGCCACGGCUAACUACGUGCCAGCCGCCGCCGUAAUAC
rnacentral:rRNA from 1 species